GGCAGGAUUACAUAAGAGCAAUCUCUUGCUAUUCGCACUAAGACAACACACUGCAUUUCCUUGAGAGACCACAUUUCCCAAACGGCGUGGCGAAAGGGGAAGAAAUCUGAGUGACGCAGCAGCAACAGCAACAGCCGGUUUGCCAGUUCCCCAUGGGGGAAAAAAGAGAGAGAGUUUGGAGCUUUGGAAGGGAUUCAGGAUGAUGAGGAGAUUUUUUACCGUAAGUGCUUAGUAACUCUAGAAGCAGAACAGCCCCUCUCCCGUCUCUCCAGGGGCAUGACACAUGCUAACUUUCAGCCGUGUUUCGUUGCAAUUUUAAAAAGCAAGUUGCUGUAUUAUUGCUUCGUGGUUACACAGAGAGAGGGGAGAGAGCCAUAGCAAGAUUUUUCUCUACUUUGCUGAUUCACCCCACUCAGGGAGGUAGCAAAACAAUGAGGUUAUUCCUCUCCACGAACCACAGCCCUGGAAUGAGCUAGGGAGAUGAGCCCAGCACAAAACGAAUGGAAACGUCUGAGGGAGAGUCAUUUAAAAAGAGGACCUGAAUUCCGAUGUGGUUACAGUUCUUCCCGGCUACUCAGAAGUACAAAGCAAUCGCACUUUGGUACAUAUCUGGCAUUCUUUUUUUCACAUUUGUACUCCACCUUUCCUUUUCUAAGGAGCUCGAGGUGCUUUCCACAAUUCUCUGCCCCCCCCCCCAAUUAUCCUCAAAACAGCCCUACAGGGUAGGUUCGGCUGAGAGUAAAUGACUGUCCCGGGUUCAAAUCAAGUGGCCGAGCGGCAAUUUGAACCCUGGUCUCCCAGGUCCUAGGCCAUGGGUAGGCAACCUAAGGCCCGCGGGCCAGAUCCAGCCCAAUUGCCUUCUAAAUCCGGCCCGUGGAUGGUCCGGGAAUCAGCGUGUUUUUACAUGAAUAGAAUGUGUCCUUUUAUUUAAAAUGCAUCUCUGGGUUAUUUGUGGGACCUGUCUGAUGUUUUUACAUGAGCAGAAUGUGUGCUUUUAUUUAAAACGCAUCUCUGGGUUAUUUGUGGGGCAUAGGAAUUCGUUCAUUCCCCCCCCCCAAAAAAAAUAUAGUCUGCCCCCCACAAGGUCUGAUGGACAGUGGACCGGCCCCCUGCUGAAAAAGUUUGCUGACCCCUGUCCUGGGCCGACGCUCUAACCACUAGGCCACAGAGUGGUGACUUCAACAGCCUCCACCCCACUAAAAAAAGCAGAAAAAUAUGACAAACAAGGAUCUGAAACUCAGAGCUUGGAGUUUACUGCACAAGAGAGAACAUUCCCAAGCAACCAUUCUGUCUAUCAUCCAUCUAUCUAUCUAUCUAUCUAUCUAUCUAUCUAUCUAUCAUCUUUUUAUUUUGCAUUCCACCUCCCCCCCCCCCCCGAGGAGCUGAAGGUGGCGGACAAGGGUCUCCCCCUCCCCAUUUUCUCCUUACAACAACCCUGUGAAGUAGGAUAGGCUAGGAGACAGCAAUUGGCUCAAGAACACCCAGUGAGAUUCCUACAUUGCGGGGGUUGGACUAGAUGACCCCGGUAGUCCCUUCCAAAUCUACAAUUCUAUGGCUGACCAGGAGAUUUGAACCCCAGACCUCCAAGUCCCAGCCCACCACCAUAACCAUCACACAGCACUGGUUCCCUUGAAAGGAAGUGAGCUGCAACAUGCCCUUGUAGGUACAGAGACAGCUGCUUUAUGCUGAGUAUCUAGUUCAGAAAUGUCCAUACUGACUGAUAGAGCAUCUCUCCAGGGCUUCAGGCAGGUUGUCCCCAUCCCUACCUGUGGAGAUGCCCCGGGCAGUACCUGGGUCCUUCUGGAUGCAAAGCAGGUGCUCUAACCCUGAGCUCGUCCAGGUGAAAGGAUGGAGAGACCCUCUGUUUGUCUCCCUAGGCAACCAGCCAUCAGUCAAAAAUGGACCAUCCUGGGCUAGGAAGAAUAUAGGGAAGCCUUUUAACGUGUUAAUGUUUUAUUAUGUUUUAAUAAUAAUUUUUUAUUUAUACGCCGCCCUUCCCGGUUCAGAAAACCGGGCUCAGGAUGGCUAAUAACAAAUUUAAAACCUUUAAUUGAUGCAACAAAACAGCAUAAAAUACAGUCUAGAACAUGAAUAACAAUAAAUUCAGAAUUCAAAAAUCAAUUUAGAGGGAAAAUCCAUCCAAUAAACAUUAGAUAAUCACCAGGGCUAGCUGGCUAAAUUAAUCCUAUUUGGGCCAGCGAGGAGACCAGGGGAGAAUUAGCUGUGGGAUCCCAGAGUGGGUAAUCUUCAUAGAAAGGGGAGGGAGAGGGAAGGAAGGAGAAUAAAAGAUCAGGUUAGGUUCAAAUCGAAAGCCAGGAGGAAUAGCUCUGUCUUACAGUUCCUGUGGAAGGAAGUUAAAUCCUGCAGGGCCCUCGUCUCAUGGGACAGAGCAUUCCACCAGGUCGGAGCCAUCACUGAGAAGGCCCUGGCCCCAGUGGAGGAUAAUCUGACUUCCCUAGGGCCCAGGACCUCUAAACUAUGGUUAUUCAUGGACCUUAAGGUCCUCUGUGGGGCAUACCAAGAGAGGCGGUCCCAUAAAUUUAUAUAUGUUGGAAGCUUCCCAGAGUGGCUGGAGCAACCCAGUCAAGUGGGCAGGGUACAUCUUCUUCUUCUUCUUCUUCUUCUUCUUCUUCUUCUUCUUCUUCUUCUUCUUCUUCAGCUACGGUCCCACAUGGCAAGGCAAGCAGCCUCCAGAUUUUUAGGGGUAUUGGAGAAACGCAACAUAGCACAUAGGAAGCUGCCUCAUACUUAUACUGAGUCAGACUGCUGGUACCCAUCAAGCUUAAGGACUGCCUACACUGACCGGCAGCAGCUGUCCAGAUUUUCCAGACAAAAGUCGCAGAGGAGUGUGCAAACUUCCCGUCAUCUCCGAGCAAAGAGAAAUAAUAAAUCCAUUUGAAUUUCUCCUCCCACCAUAGCGCAGACAGAACUCAGCUUUAUGGUUUAAAAGUCUCAAGUUGCCCUUUCCAGCCUGUGUGUGUGUGUGUGCGCCUAGCUCUCAGCUCCGGGACGUCAGCCAAAGUCGAUUACAGGCGACUUAAAGGGAUGGAGAAAGGGAGGAAAGCAGGGAAAAGACUCAAGAGCGGGCGGGAAUCAAUUCGCAGCUGUAGCAAGACCGGCAAGGUCUCGGCAGCCAAAAAACAUGAGGCUAAAUUUACAGGUCCGGGGGAAGGCAGGAGUAGCAAACUGAUCUUGAACGGGGAGAAAACAGACAACAGCUCUCUCUCCCCUGGCACACAAGUACUGACAGAGCUAGGUCAUCUUGCUUGUUAUUGAGAAACCGGGGCAGAGAGCACGAGGGCUGACGCACAAAGGCUUGUCAAGUGUUUACUGGCAAAGGUACUUUGCCACUUUCCCUGCUGCUGCGAACGCACCACCGGCGCUGUGUAAUUUCUCACGCCGCACAGAUAAGCAGGUGGAGGAAAAUGGAACAGAAGUAGCCAGGGGCGAGGCGCUAAGCUCCUCCGGCGCAUCCACCUGUCACCGUGGGUCCUCGGUUUGGGGAGGAGGUGAUGCCCUAUGACUCAGCUACCUUUGCGUCAAGCAAAGCUAAUCCCUUUUCUCUGAUCUUCUGCCGCUCCCGCAGGAAGAACGUUCAGCUUCAACCUGACAACUAGACAUUUGCUUCCCAAACUUUCAAUUGCCGGAACAGGGAUUUCUUCCUCUCCCCAUUGAAGCGGGAGAUACAAUGCGUGCCACACUGGUUGUCAUGCCUAGCCACGGUUUAGGGUUGCGAGAGCAAGGCUCUGGCUGCAAGAAGGGAAUCAGACUUCCACUUCAGGUUAACCACAGUUUAGUGGGUCAGCAGAAACCUAAGUUAUGACCCAUCUCAAUUCUGGUUAGCUGAAAGAAGGCAGCUCCAUGAACCAGAGGUGAAAGAUAGGUUUGUUUGUCUUCUCAAUAGACCACAGUUAUUGAGGUUGAAUCCUGACAAGACAGAAGUACUGUUUUGGGGGGACAGGAGGCGGGCAGGUGUGGAGGACUCCCUGGUUCUGAAUGGGGUAACUGUGCCCCUGAAGGACCAGGUGCGCAGCCUGGGAGUCAUUUUGGACUCACAGCCGUCCAUGUAGGCACAGGUCAAUUCUGCAUCCAGGGCAGCUGUUUACCAGCUCCACCUGGUAUGCAGGCUAAGACCACACCUGCCCUCAGACUGUCUUGCCAGAGUAGUGCAUGCUCUGGUUAUCUCCCGCUUGGACCACUGCAAUGCGCUCUACGUGGGGCUACCUUUGAAAGUGACCCGGAAACUGCAAUUCAUCCAGAAUGCAGCAGCUAGACUGGUGACUGGGAGCGGCCGCUGAGACCACAUAACACCGGUCUUGAAAGACCUACAUUGGCUCCCAGUACGUUUCCAAGCACAAUUCAAAGUGCUGGUGCUGACCUUGAAAGCCCUAAACGGCCUCGGUCCAGUAUACCUGAAGGAGCGUCUCCACCCCCAUCAUUCUACCCGGACACUGAGGUCCCGCGCGGAGGGCCUUCUGGUGGUUCCAUCCCUGUGAGAAGCCAAGUUACAGGGAACCAGGCAGAGGUAGUGGCGCCCUCCCUGUGGAACACCCUCCCACCAGAUGUCAAAGUGAACAACAACUACCAGACUUUUAGAAGACAUCUGAAGGCAGUCCUGUUUAGGGAAGCUUUUAAUGUUUGCUGUAUUAUGGUAUUUUAAAAUUUUGUUGGAAGCCGCCCAGAGUGGCUGGGGAAGCCCAGCCAGAUGGGCGGGGUAUAAAUAAUAAAUUAUUAUUAUAUUAUUAUUAUUAUAGGUAGGAUUAACCACAAUUUGGAAGGAUUUGACAACAAAGCAACUUCUGUAAAGCAACCAUGGCCAACUGUCAUGGAUGUUUAAGCUGAGAUUCCUGCAUGGAAGGGGUUGGACUAGAUUGACUCUCGAUGUCCCUUCCAAUUCUACAAUUCUAUGUUCUAUGAUAGAUGUACAAUUUCACAAAAAUAUUCACCAAUGUUUGCAUAAUAUAAGAAGUCAGUGCUAUGGAAGUGAUUUAAGUAUUGUGCAAAAAAAAGGGGGGGAGGGAGAGAGAAGCAAGCUGUGUUCUGGCCUCAGUUUUUUCAACACACUGGCUUUUCCCUGCAGGCAUCCUGUUGCUACAAAAGGCCAGAUAAACAGGGCCGUUUUAUUGCCGAAUUAAAAAAGGAAAACAGCCCGCAACAAUAGCAACAUCGGGGAAAGGAACAGCGGACUUAAAUCAUCAAGUUGUCCAAGCCAGAAAUUUCCUAGAGCCACAGCAAUGCUGCCACUCAGCAGAGCAAAAGGAUCAUGGGAUAUUCUGAGAACAAUUAGAUGGUGGGCAUGGUCAUUUACAGAUGGAUGAGCCCCUCCUGUUCAAUUUCAAUGCAACACCACCUGGGGAUCCAGAAUGUGGAGGAACUUGGGACUUCACCCAGCAAAACUACACAAUAUCUGAAGACUCAAUAAAAGUCCAGAAUUUGGUUGCCACCACGGUGGAAGUCAACGAAGGCACACCCUCAUAGAGGCUGGGAAGAGCAUGCAAUGAGUUUUGAAAUGUACGUAGGAAUCCGAUGAACCAGACCAUUCGUUCAUCUAGUUCAGUUCUGUCUAAAGUGACAAGCACCAGGGUUUUCAGACACGGGAACAUUCCCAGCCCUACCUAGAGACCUGGGACCUUCUGCAUAAUAACAAAAACUGAUAAUUUUAUUAUUUAUAUCCCACCCAUCUGCAAAGGAAGGACUCUCUGCCAGUGUGUUCCUCAACCUUCACAGCAAACACAUGUGGGCACUGUGCCGGCAGUCUGGGGGUGGAAUCCACAGCACCCCAGGGAGUCAGCGCAAAUUGUGGCACAUUAACUUAAGACAGCAUCCAGGACUACCCCAAAUUCUUGGGUGGAUGCACUUUGCAGGAGAAGACAGAGGAACAGCGUUUCAUGGAAGCUUGCUCGCGGCGACUGACCAUCUCGUGGAGGAACUGCAGAGCUCCCACAGAAGACAGCUUUCAAGACCACUGUCAUUGUGGUUCGCACUCAGUUCCCCCACCGCUUCCUGCGCCUAAAAGCGGAACUUUGAUCUCCCCUAAAGGAUGCAGAACAGAGGAGUGGCUUAAAUGGUCUGUCCAAUAUUGUUGGACUGCAACUCCCAUGAUGCUCAAUCAUUGCCCAUGCUGGCUGCAGCUGAGAAGAGUUGUAGUCCAACGUGAUGCAGCUAGGAUACCUCAGUUGGCAGAGCAUGAGUCAUGAGUUGGAGUCCCAUGUUAGGCAAAAGAUUCGUGCAUUGCAAAGGUUAGAUUAGGUGUCUCUCAUGGUCCCUUCCAACUCCACAAUUCUAGGAUUAUGAGACCUGGUGUAGCUCAGUUGGUAGAGCACAAGACUCUUGUUAAUCUCAAGGUCAUGGGUUCGAGUCCCACAUUG
rnacentral:lncRNA from 1 species